UACGUAGGGUGCAAGCGUUGUCCGGAAUUAUUGGGCGUAAAGAGCUCGUAGGCGGUUUGUUGCGUCGGCUGUGAAAUCCCGAGGCUCAACCUCGGGUCUGCAGUCGAUACGAGCAAACUAGAGUGUUGCAGGGGAGACCGGAAUUCCUGGUGUAGCGGUGAAAAUGCGCAGAUAUCAGGAGGAACACCGGUGGCGAAGGCGGGUCUCUGGGCAACAACUGACGCUGAGGAGCGAAAGCCAGGGGAGCAAACGGG
rnacentral:rRNA from 1 species